GCAAUAGUAACUGAAAUGAUUAUUUAAAAAAAAUUUCCAUCAUUCAAGAAAGUGUCCUCAUGCUCUUUUCCAAUCAAUUUCUAUCUUAGGGAUAAAAACUUUUCUAUUUUUAUCACUAUUGAGUAGCUUUGUCUAUUCUUGAGCUUCAUAUAAUGAAAUCAUAUUUUUAUUGAGUUGUUUUUCUCCAGAAUUAGUAUUUCUGAAGUGUAUUCAUACUGUUGUAUCAGUAGGUCAUUCUUUCUUAAGACUAAUAUUCCAUGGCAUAAAUACACCACAGCUUGUUGAUCCACGCUCCUGUUGAUGGAGAUCCAUAUUACUCCUGUCUUCAACUAUUAGGAAUGAAGUUGUUGUGAACAUAUUGUGGGAUUCUUUCCUGUGAGCAUAUGCAUUCUUUUUUUCUUUUUUUUUUAAAUAUAUAGACUUAAGAGUGGAAAUAAUGACUCUUAGUGUAGAUGUGUGUGCUAUGCUUGUGUGUCUCCACAGAAGCUCAUGUUGAAACUUGUCAGUGUAAUGGUAUUGGAAUUAUGACAGCUAUAACUAGGUCAGGAGGGAUCUGCCCUCAGAAAAAGAUCAAUGCCCUUAUUGUAGGAGUGAAUUAGUGGUCUUGGGAAUGGUCUUCUGAUAAAAAGGGUGAAUUCAGCCGUUUUCUCUGAUUUUGGUGCUUGCUUCCCCUUCCUUCUGCCUUGGAUAACAGCAGGAGGCCCUCAUCAGUUAUGGCCCUUUGAUCUUGGACUUCCCAGUCUCCAUAUCUAUAGGCCAAAUAAACCUCUUGUCUUGGUAAAUUGCCCAGUCCAUAGUGUUUCUCUAUAGCAGUAGGAAAGAAAUUGAAAGAAAAUAUGGUACUGAGAGUGAUGCCGUUGAUAUAAUUUCUGAAAAUGUAGAAGCAGCUUUGGUUAAUGGGAAGUGGCUAAUGGAUAGAGGUUGAAAGAACUGGGAGGAGCAGACUAGCAAAAGCCAAGAUUCCUGAAAACAGAGCAUAAAGGGCACUUCUGGUGAAGGCUCAGGGGUAAAUGAGGAACAAGGUAUCGGAAAUUGAAGCAAAUGCCAUCCUUGUUAUAAGUAGCAAAAACCUUGGCAAAGAUGUGUCCUGUUCUAGAACUUUAUGGAAUAUAGAAAUGAUGAGCCAUUUGCUAGUAUAUCUGCUGAAAGAAAUAUCUAAGCGGCAAAGCAUUCAGGCUACUGUGUGACUACUUUUAGCCACCAGGAAAUUUAACCCAGCAAGAAGGGAGCCAUGGGAAUAGAUUUUGCAAACCAGCACAGAUGGUGACCCUACCUCCCUCUGCUGUCCUGUCUCCCACAUGCCAAACUCUAUGCUGUGAGCUGUUAAAGUCCUAUAAUUAUUUCUGGGGAAUCUGUACUCUUAAAUAAUUUACAGAUAACCCAGGUCUGCUUUGGAUAUGAUCAGACAGACUAAAUCAUGGAGACUCUGCACCACUGGCCACUGACGAAAGGGGCUGGGAAUGUUGUCUGGGACAAGAAAAUAUAAUAAGAAACAUUGGAGUGAAUCUAGCAUCAGAAAGAUGUUGUGAGGACAGCCAGGAAGAGCUGGAACCUGAGGUUUAAUCACACGCUCCUCACCCUCUGCUGAUGGGCAGGUGUGUGAGCUCCAGCAUGGAGCACCACAGUACUAGGUCAGAGGACGGUGAUAGGGCAAUUGGGCAGCCUGUGAGCUGGGGCAGUGUAGGCAGAGGAGCAACUGUAUCAUCGCAGAAGCUUCUGCCUUCACCCAUCCCUCUAGCUCUGCAGGACAGGUAAAGAGCACAGCGUCUGUGGAGCACUAGACCUAAGGCAGGCUGCAUGGGGAGGACACAGGACAGUGACAUCACAGGCUAUGCCUCCCAUCAGGAAAAUCAAGGACCAGAACUCGCUCAGCUCUUCCCCAGGAGGACCAAGCGCUGCGUCAGGUGCAGUGCUGCCUGCCCCACUGUGCCAUGGGCCCCGGGCUCCUCUGCUGGGCGCUGCUUUGUCUCCUGGGAGCAGGCCCAGUGGACACUGGAGUCACCCAAAGUCCCACACACCUGAUCAAAACGAGAGGACAGCAAGUGACUCUGAGAUGCUCUCCUAUAUCUGGGCACACCAGUGUGUCCUGGUACCAACAGGCCCUGGGUCAGGGGCCCCAAUUUAUCUUUCAGUAUUAUGAGAAGGAAGAGAGAGUCAGAGGCAACUUCCCUGAUCGAUUCUCAGGUCGCCAGUUCCCUAACUAUAGCUCUGAGCUGAAUGUGAGCGCCUUGUUGCUGGGGGACUUGGCCCUGUAUCUCUGCGCCAGCAGCUUGGCACAGCCCGGCAGAGUCACUGACAUUCUGUAUGUAAACUUCCUGCCUCAGCUUUGACUUGAGAGCUGCAGGCCGCACCCAGCUUUCACUCCUUCAAGGGAAGCUUUUAGUUGUUUGGAAGGCAUGUCUUCUGUCCUACUGAGCACAGAGCUCUCCCAACCAACAGAGCCCAGGUUUCCUGUGCCCUCAGUGUGCCCGCUUCUCUACUGUAUCCUCUUGCAACUUGUCACUUCCUGGGUAACUUCAGAACAAGAGUGACUGCGGAGUCCCAGAUGUGUGCUUGAUUCUUUGUAUUUGUUAUAUAGCUUAAUGCCUUUCAACAGUCUUGCACAUCAAACAUUCUUAUUCUUCCUUUACAGAUGGGAGGCUCAGGGACAUUGAGUCAUUUUCCCCAGUGUCUCCUGGCUUGUAAGGACCAGAAGUAGGAAACAAACUAGUCCAUACAUUUUCCACCUACCCCUCUGCUCCGUCAUCACCUUCUGCAUCCUGGUCAGUAAGUCAGAGCCCUCACACUGUCCUCUAGUGACCAGCAGGGCGGCAGUAGAGUCUCAGAUAUCUUCAGGGGUCAUUACUAUGGCCUCCUCAUUAGCAACUUUGAGGAAUGUUAAAUUUCACACUUUUUAACAAUCAUUUAUAUGCAUUCCCUUUGUCUUUCCUCAGUCUGCAGCUUAUAUUUUCAUUUUUAUGGAGUUUUUUGAUGCACAAGAGUUUAACGCAACAAAAACUAGAAACAAUUUUGUUUUUGUAUAGACAAAAACCGCUUUCUCAUAUAAACAUCUAAGGAUAUUUUUCUCAAUUUAUUCUACUAAAAUUUAA